rnacentral:rRNA from 1 species
GAGUUUGAUCCUGGCUCAGAACGAACGCUGGCGGCGUGCUUAACACAUGCAAGUCGAACGUGAUUCAGAGCUUGCUCUGAUGAAAGUGGCGCACGGGUGAGUAACGCGUGGAUAACCUGCCCUGGUAUCCGGAAUAACAUCUCGAAAGGGGUGCUAAUACCGGAUAAGCCCACGGGAUCCUCGGAUUCUGCGGGAAAAGGUGGCCUCUAUUUAUAAGCUACCGUAUCAGGAUGAGUCCGCGUACCAUUAGCUAGUUGGUGGGGUAAUGGCCCACCAAGGCUACGAUGGUUAGCUGGUCUGAGAGGAUGAUCAGCCACACUGGAACUGAGACACGGUCCAGACUCCUACGGGAGGCAGCAGUGGGGAAUUUUGCGCAAUGGGGGAAACCCUGACGCAGCAACGCCGCGUGAGUGAUGAAGGCUUUCGGGUCGUAAAGCUCUGUCAGAGGGGAAGAAAUGAGACUGGCUAAUAUCCAGUUUUCUUGACGGUACCCUCAAAGGAAGCACCGGCUAACUCCGUGCCAGCAGCCGCGGUAAUAC